GACGAACGCUGGCGGCGUGCCUAAUACAUGCAAGUAGAACGCUGAAGAGAGGAGCUUGCUCUUCUUGGAUGAGUUGCGAACGGGUGAGUAACGCGUAGGUAACCUGCCUUGUAGCGGGGGAUAACUAUUGGAAACGAUAGCUAAUACCGCAUAACAAUGGAUGACACAUGUCAUUUAUUUGAAAGGGGCAAUUGCUCCACUACAAGAUGGACCUGCGUUGUAUUAGCUAGUAGGUGAGGUAACGGCUCACCUAGGCGACGAUACAUAGCCGACCUGAGAGGGUGAUCGGCCACACCGGGACUGAGACACGGCCCAGACUCCUACGGGAGGCAGCAGUAGGGAAUCUUCGGCAAUGGGGGCAACCCUGACCGAGCAACGCCGCGUGAGUGAAGAAGGUUUUCGGAUCGUAAAGCUCUGUUGUAAGUCAAGAACGAGUGUGAGAGUGGAAAGUUCACACUGUGACGGUAGCUUACCAGAAAGGGACGGCUAACUACGUGCCAGCAGCCGCGGUAAUACGUAGGUCCCGAGCGUUGUCCGGAUUUAUUGGGCGUAAAGCGAGCGCAGGCGGUUUGAUAAGUCUGAAGUUAAAGGCUGUGGCUCAACCAUAGUUCGCUUUGGAAACUGUCAAACUUGAGUGCAGAAGGGGAGAGUGGAAUUCCAUGUGUAGCGGUGAAAUGCGUAGAUAUAUGGAGGAACACCGGUGGCGAAAGCGGCUCUCUGGUCUGUAACUGACGCUGAGGCUCGAAAGCGUGGGGAGCGAACAGGAUUAGAUACCCUGGUAGUCCACGCCGUAAACGAUGAGUGCUAGGUGUUGGAUCCUUUCCGGGAUUCAGUGCCGCAGCUAACGCAUUAAGCACUCCGCCUGGGGAGUACGACCGCAAGGUUGAAACUCAAAGGAAUUGACGGGGGCCCGCACAAGCGGUGGAGCAUGUGGUUUAAUUCGAAGCAACGCGAAGAACCUUACCAGGUCUUGACAUCCCGAUGCUAUUUCUAGAGAUAGAAAGUUACUUCGGUACAUCGGUGACAGGUGGUGCAUGGUUGUCGUCAGCUCGUGUCGUGAGAUGUUGGGUUAAGUCCCGCAACGAGCGCAACCCCUAUUGUUAGUUGCCAUCAUUCAGUUGGGCACUCUAGCGAGACUGCCGGUAAUAAACCGGAGGAAGGUGGGGAUGACGUCAAAUCAUCAUGCCCCUUAUGACCUGGGCUACACACGUGCUACAAUGGUUGGUACAACGAGUUGCGAGUCGGUGACGGCAAGCUAAUCUCUUAAAGCCAAUCUCAGUUCGGAUUGUAGGCUGCAACUCGCCUACAUGAAGUCGGAAUCGCUAGUAAUCGCGGAUCAGCACGCCGCGGUGAAUACGUUCCCGGGCCU
rnacentral:rRNA from 1 species